CAGGGCAAAGCCAAGAAGUGUUUUUCCCCCCUCCCUGCCACGGGAACUGUGACCUAAUUCUCAUUCCUAAUCACAGAAUCAAAGGAGAAAUUUAUUUCAAUGAACCAAUCUAAAAGAGCUAUUUGCCACAUGGCUUUCUUUCCAAUACUUAAUGAAAAGAUGCAUUUUGUACUACUUUCAAAAAGUGAUAUGGACAGGAGAUGGAAAUACUGGGUAGAAAAGGGCAGUUCCCUGGCAAAGCCUCACCCUCAAGCCCGGAUACCUGCUGUCUUAAACGAAAACAGGCAUUUCUGUGUUCGUGCUCCAAAAGUUGUCUUUUGGCCCGCCCCACACCCCCUAUCCUGCACCCAUAUGAAUCCCGAACCCCAGACUCCAGAAGCAGACCAGCAAGCCCGCAGACCAGCAGAAGGAUGGCAGAACGAUGUGGCAGAGGAAAGGAGAAGAGGAGGAACAUCUGAAUGUCAAAAUGAGUUCAGCUGGGGGCAGUCAGAGAGGAGUCCAGCCACUGGGCAGCCGGAAUCCAGGGGAGGAUCACCUUUCCACUUCAUCCCCUUCCUCUGCCUCCCCAUCCAUCCUGCUGAAAGCCACCUCCACCACUCAAUAAAAC
rnacentral:lncRNA from 1 species